GACGAACGCUGGCGGCGUGCUUAACACAUGCAAGUCGAACGGAAAGGCCCCUUCGGGGGUACUCGAGUGGCGAACGGGUGAGUAACACGUGGGUGAUCUGCCCCAAACUCUGGGAUAAGCCUGGGAAACUGGGUCUAAUACUGGAUAUGACCUUCUGCUUCAUGGUGGUUGGUGGAAAGCUUUUGCGGUUUGGGAUGGGCCCGCGGCCUAUCAGCUUGUUGGUGGGGUAAUGGCCUACCAAGGCGACGACGGGUAGCCGACCUGAGAGGGUGAUCGGCCACACUGGGACUGAGACACGGCCCAGACUCCUACGGGAGGCAGCAGUGGGGAAUAUUGCACAAUGGGCGCAAGCCUGAUGCAGCGACGCCGCGUGAGGGAUGACGGCCUUCGGGUUGUAAACCUCUUUCGGCAGGGACGAAGCGCAAGUGACGGUACCUGCAGAAGAAGCGCCGGCCAACUACGUGCCAGCAGCCGCAGUAA
rnacentral:rRNA from 1 species